UACGUAGGGUGCAAGCGUUGUCCGGAAUUAUUGGGCGUAAAGAGCUCGUAGGCGGUUUGUCGCGUCUGCUGUGAAAACCCGAGGCUCAACCUCGGGCCUGCAGUGGGUACGGGCAGACUAGAGUGCGGUAGGGGAGAUUGGAAUUCCUGGUGUAGCGGUGGAAUGCGCAGAUAUCAGGAGGAACACCGGUGGCGAAGGCGGUUCUCUGGGCCUGUUCUGACGCUGAGGAGCGAAAGCGUGGGGAGCGAACAGG
rnacentral:rRNA from 1 species